rnacentral:rRNA from 1 species
GUGGGGAAUCUUGCGCAAUGGGCGAAAGCCUGACGCAGCAACGCCGCGUGUGGGAUGACGGCCUUCGUGGUUGUAAACCGCUUUCAGCAGGGACGAAAUUGACGGUACCUGCAGAAGAAGCCCCGGCUAACUACGUGCCAGCAGCCGCGGUAAUACGUAGGGGGCAAGCGUUGUCCGGAAUCAUUGGGCGUAAAGAGCUCGUAGGCGGUUCGGUAAGUCGGGUGUGAAAGCACCGGGCUAAACUCGGGGAGGCCACUCGAUACUGCUGUGACUAGAAUCCAGUAGGGGAGUGUGGAAUUCCUGGUGUAGCGGUGAAAUGCGCAGGUAUCAGGAGGAACACCAGCGGCGAAGGCGGCACUCUGGGCUGGUAUUGACGCUGAGGAGCGAAAGUGUGGGUAGCAAACAGGAUUAGAAACCCUAGUAGUCC